rnacentral:rRNA from 1 species
GGUUAAGCGACUAAGCGUACACGGUGGAUGCCCUGGCAGUCAGAGGCGAUGAAGGGCGUGCUAAUCUGCGAUAAGCGCCGGUAAGGUGAUAUGAACCGUUAUAACCGGCGAUACCCGAAUGGGGAAACCCAGUGUGACUCGUCACACUAUCAUUAACUGAAUCCAUAGGUUAAUGAGGCGAACCGGGGGAACUGAAACAUCUAAGUACCCCGAGGAAAAGAAAUCAACCGAGAUUCCCCCAGUAGCGGCGAGCGAACGGGGAGGAGCCCAGAGCCUGAAUCAGCAUGUGUGUUAGUGGAAGCGUCUGGAAAGGCGCGCGAUACAGGGUGACAGCCCCGUACACAAAAGCGCAUGUGCUGUGAGCUCGAUGAGUAGGGCGGGACACGUGGUAUCCUGUCUGAAUAUGGGGGGACCAUCCUCCAAGGCUAAAUACUCCUGACUGACCGAUAGUGAACCAGUACCGUGAGGGAAAGGCGAAAAGAACCCCGGCGAGGGGAGUGAAAAAGAACCUGAAACCGUGUACGUACAAGCAGUGGGAGCCCCACCACUAAGCCAGUGGUGAACUCCACAUACGCAUCCUUUGCUGAGGAUACGGUUAACGGAGCGAAAGCGACGUUCAACCUCAAAAGAAGCAGAGGGGGCUUAGUGGUGGGGUGACUGCGUACCUUUUGUAUAAUGGGUCAGCGACUUAUAUUCUGUAGCAAGGUUAACCGAAUAGGGGAGCCGGAGGGAAACCGAGUCUUAAUUGGGCGUUAAGUUGCAGGGUAUAGACCCGAAACCCGGUGAUCUAGCCAUGGGCAGGUUGAAGGUUGGGUAACACUAACUGGAGGACCGAACCGACUAAUGUUGAAAAAUUAGCGGAUGACCUGUGGCUGGGGGUGAAAGGCCAAUCAAACCGGGAGAUAGCUGGUUCUCCCCGAAAGCUAUUUAGGUAGCGCCUCGUGAAUUCAUCUCCGGGGGUAGAGCACUGUUUCGGCUAGGGGGCCAUCCCGGCUUACCAACCCGAUGCAAACUGCGAAUACCGGAGAAUGUUAUCACGGGAGACACACGGCGGGUGCUAACGUCCGUCGUGAAGAGGGAAACAACCCAGACCGCCAGCUAAGGUCCCAAAGUCAUGGUUAAGUGGGAAACGAUGUGGGAAGGCCCAGACAGCCAGGAUGUUGGCUUAGAAGCAGCCAUCAUUUAAAGAAAGCGUAAUAGCUCACUGGUCGAGUCGGCCUGCGCGGAAGAUGUAACGGGGCUAAACCAUGCACCGAAGCUGCGGCAGCGACGCUGAUGCGUUGUUGGGUAGGGGAGCGUUCUGUAAGCCUGUGAAGGUGUGUCGUGAGGCAUGCUGGAGGUAUCAGAAGUGCGAAUGCUGACAUAAGUAACGAUAAAGCGGGUGAAAAGCCCGCUCGCCGGAAGACCAAGGGUUCCUGUCCAACGUUAAUCGGGGCAGGGUGAGUCGACCCCUAAGGCGAGGCCGAAAGGCGUAGUCGAUGGGAAACGGGUUAAUAUUCCCGUACUUGGUGUUACUGCGAAGGGGGGACGGAGAAGGCUAUGUUGGCCGGGCGACGGUUGUCCCGGUUUAAGCGUGUAGGCUGGUUUUCCAGGCAAAUCCGGAAAAUCAAGGCUGAGGCGUGACGACGAGGCACUACGGUGCUGAAGCAACAAAUGCCCUGCUUCCAGGAAAAGCCUCUAAGCAUCAGGUAACAUCAAAUCGUACCCCAAACCGACACAGGUGGUCAGGUAGAGAAUACCAAGGCGCUUGAGAGAACUCGGGUGAAGGAACUAGGCAAAAUGGUGCCGUAACUUCGGGAGAAGGCACGCUGACACGUAGGUGAAGUGAUUUACUCACGGAGCUGAAGUCAGUCGAAGAUACCAGCUGGCUGCAACUGUUUAUUAAAAACACAGCACUGUGCAAACACGAAAGUGGACGUAUACGGUGUGACGCCUGCCCGGUGCCGGAAGGUUAAUUGAUGGGGUCAGCGCAAGCGAAGCUCCUGAUCGAAGCCCCGGUAAACGGCGGCCGUAACUAUAACGGUCCUAAGGUAGCGAAAUUCCUUGUCGGGUAAGUUCCGACCUGCACGAAUGGCGUAAUGAUGGCCAGGCUGUCUCCACCCGAGACUCAGUGAAAUUGAACUCGCUGUGAAGAUGCAGUGUACCCGCGGCAAGACGGAAAGACCCCGUGAACCUUUACUAUAGCUUGACACUGAACAUUGAGCCUUGAUGUGUAGGAUAGGUGGGAGGCUUUGAAGUGUGGACGCCAGUCUGCAUGGAGCCGGCCUUGAAAUACCACCCUUUAAUGUUUGAUGUUCUAACGUGGACCCGUGAUCCGGGUUGCGGACAGUGUCUGGUGGGUAGUUUGACUGGGGCGGUCUCCUCCUAAAGAGUAACGGAGGAGCACGAAGGUUGGCUAAUCCUGGUCGGACAUCAGGAGGUUAGUGCAAUGGCAUAAGCCAGCUUGACUGCGAGCGUGACGGCGCGAGCAGGUGCGAAAGCAGGUCAUAGUGAUCCGGUGGUUCUGAAUGGAAGGGCCAUCGCUCAACGGAUAAAAGGUACUCCGGGGAUAACAGGCUGAUACCGCCCAAGAGUUCAUAUCGACGGCGGUGUUUGGCACCUCGAUGUCGGCUCAUCACAUCCUGGGGCUGAAGUAGGUCCCAAGGGUAUGGCUGUUCGCCAUUUAAAGUGGUACGCGAGCUGGGUUUAGAACGUCGUGAGACAGUUCGGUCCCUAUCUGCCGUGGGCGCUGGAGAACUGAGGGGGGCUGCUCCUAGUACGAGAGGACCGGAGUGGACGCAUCACUGGUGUUCGGGUUGUCAUGCCAAUGGCACUGCCCGGUAGCUAAAUGCGGAAGAGAUAAGUGCUGAAAGCAUCUAAGCACGAAACUUGCCCCGAGAUGAGUUCUCCCUGAGACUUAAAGUCUCCUGAAGGAACGUUGAAGACGACGACGUUGAUAGGCCGGGUGUGUAAGCGCAGCGAUGCGUUGAGCUAACCGGUACUAAUGAACCGUGAGGCUUAACCUU